GAUGAAGAACGCAGCGAAAUGCGAUAAGUAAUGUGAAUUGCAGAAUUCAGUGAAUCAUCGAAUCUUUGAACGUACAUUGCGCCCCCUGGUAUUCCGGGGGGCAUGCCUGUCCGAGCGUCAUUGCUGCCCUCAAGCACGGCUUGUGUGUUGGGCCCCGUCCUCCGAUCCCGGGGGACGGGCCCGAAAGGCAGCGGCGGCACCGCGUCCGGUCCUCGAGCGUAUGGGGCUUUGUCACCCGCUCUGUAGGCCCGGCCGGCGCUUGCCGAUCAACCCAAAUUUUUUAUCCAGGUUGACCUCGGAUCAGGUAGGGAUACCCGCUGAACUUAAGCAUAUCAAUAAGCGGAGGA
rnacentral:misc_RNA from 1 species